UACGAAGGGGGCUAGCGUUGCUCGGAAUCGCUGGGCGUAAAGGGCGCGUAGGCGGACUCUUAAGUCGGGGGUGAAAGCCCAGGGCUCAACCCUGGAAUUGCCUUCGAUACUGAGAGUCUUGAGUUCGGAAGAGGUUGGUGGAACUGCGAGUGUAGAGGUGAAAUUCGUAGAUAUUCGCAAGAACACCAGUGGCGAAGGCGGCCAACUGGUCCGAUACUGACGCUGAGGCGCGAAAGCGUGGGGAGCAAACAGG
rnacentral:rRNA from 1 species